UCCUCCUUUCCAUCCAUCUUUCAAUUCACAAAUUAGCAUAUGAAUUCAUUCCCCAAAUUCUCCAAUUCAAUUUAAAGAAAUAAAAAUUCAAUUGAGAGAUUGUGGUGGCUUAGUGGGGUUUGAAAUUGGCAAGAAGUAAAGGAAGGAAAUUGGAAUUUCAAUUGUUUUAAUGGUUUUCUUCUUGAGGUGAUGGUGAUGACAACCUAAUUGUGCAUAAUAGUCAAGUAGAGCCUAAUAGCCAAAAUCAAGGAGUUGGUAGUAGCCAAGGUAAAGAUUUAAUCAAGUGGAACUUGUUAUCAAAGGUAUUUUGGCCAUAAUUGAAAGUUGGCAACUUGGAUAAUGGUGUAGACAAUCCCUUGGUACAUUUUGGCUCUUGAUACAUGUUCUUUUUGGUUUAACAAGUCUAUUUUGGUAUAAAACCUGUGAUAAUGUCAAGCUUUUGGUUAUUUGGAUUGUAUAUGGUAAUGUAAACGUUUAGUAGAUCAAUGACUUGGAUAAACAACCCGUUUUGUUGUACAUUGGUUCUUUUGGCCAAACAAUGGUUGUAAGUAUCAAAUA